rnacentral:rRNA from 5 species
UUAAAUUGAAGAGUUUGAUCAUGGCUCAGAUUGAACGCUGGCGGCAGGCCUAA